GCCGCCGUAGCUCAGUGGUAGGGCGUCGGACGCGUUAUCCGAAGGUCGCAGGUUCGGUCCCUGCCGGCGGCA
rnacentral:tRNA from 1 species